UACGUAGGGGGCGAGCGUUGUCCGGAUUCAUUGGGCGUAAAGAGCUCGUAGGCGGCUUGGCAAGUCGGGUGUGAAAACUCCAGGCUCAACCUGGAGACGCCACCCGAUACUGCCAUGGCUUGAGUCCGGUAGGGGACCACGGAAUUCCUGGUGUAGCGGUGAAAUGCGCAGAUAUCAGGAGGAACACCAGUGGCGAAGGCGGUGGUCUGGGCCGGUACUGACGCUGAGGAGCGAAAGCGUGGGGAGCGAACAGG
rnacentral:rRNA from 1 species